rnacentral:rRNA from 1 species
UACGGUAGGUGGCAAGCGUUAUCCGGAAUUAUUGGGCGUAAAGAGCGCGCAGGUGGUUGAUUAAGUCUGAUGUGAAAGCCCACGGCUUAACCGUGGAGGGUCAUUGGAAACUGGUCGACUUGAGGUGCAGAAGAGGGAAGUGGAAUUCCAUGUGUAGCGGUGAAAUGCGUAGAGAUUUGGAGGAACACCAGUGGCGAAGGCGGCUUCCUGGUCUGUAACUGACACUGAGGCGCGAAAGCCAGGGGAGCAAACGGGAUUAGGAUACCCCUGGUA